AUUGAACGCUGGCGGCAUGCUUUACACAUGCAAGUCGAACGGUAACAGGCCGCAAGGUUCUGACGAGUGGCGAACGGGUGAGUAAUGCAGCGGAACGUGCCCAGUCGUGGGGGAUAACUACUCGAAAGAGUAGCUAAUACCCCAUACUAUCUAUGAAUGAAAGCGGGGGACCGUAAGGCCUCGCGCGAUUGGAGCGGCCGAUGUCAGAUUAGGUAGUUGGUGGGGUAAAGGCUCACCAAGGCAACGAUCUGUAGCUGGUCUGAGAGGACGAUCAGCCACACUGGGACUGAGACACGGCCCAGACUCCUACGGGAGGCAGCAGUGGGGAAUUUUGGACAAUGGGCGCAAGCCUGAUCCAGCAAUGCCGCGUGCAGGAAGAAGGCCUUCGGGUUGUAAACUGCUUUUGUACGGAACGAAAAGGCUCUGGUUAAUACCCGGGGCUAAUGACGGUACCGUAAGAAUAAGCACCGGCUAACUACGUG
rnacentral:rRNA from 1 species